rnacentral:rRNA from 1 species
GAUUGAAGGCUGAAAUUCGCCUUCAUGAAGCCGGAAUUGCUAGUAAUGGCAGGUCAGCAUACUGCCGUGAAUACGUUCCCGGGCCUUGUACACACCGCCCGUCACACUAUGAGAGUUGGGAAUACCCGAAGCCUGUGAGCUAACUAUUAGAGGCAGCAGUCGAAGGUAGAAUCAAUGAUUGGGGUGAAGUCGUAACAAGGUAAC